GACCGGCUGGUCUAACGGCAUGACGCUCCAUCAUAGAUAGCCUAGGAGUAGUGUGGGUUCGAAUCCUGCGCUGGUCC